AUUGAACGCUGGCGGCAUGCCUUACACAUGCAAGUCGAACGGCAGCACGGGUGCUUGCACCUGGUGGCGAGUGGCGAACGGGUGAGUAAUACAACGGAACAUGUCCUGUAGUGGGGGAUAGCCCGGCGAAAGCCGGAUUAAUACCGCAUACGAUCUACGGAUGAAAGCGGGGGACCUUCGGGCCUCGCGCUAUAGGGUUGGCCGAUGGCUGAUUAGCUAGUUGGUGGGGUAAAGGCCUACCAAGGCGACGAUCAGUAGCUGGUCUGAGAGGACGACCAGCCACACUGGGACUGAGACACGGCCCAGACUCCUACGGGAGGCAGCAGUGGGGAAUUUUGGACAAUGGGCGAAAGCCUGAUCCAGCAAUGCCGCGUGUGUGAAGAAGGCCUUCGGGUUGUAAAGCACUUUUGUCCGGAAAGAAAUCCUUGGCCCUAAUACGGUCGGGGGAUGACGGUACCGGAAGAAUAAGCACCGGCUAACUACGUG
rnacentral:rRNA from 1 species